rnacentral:rRNA from 2 species
AAAGCUUGCUUUUAAAAGGUUAGCGGCGGACGGGUGAGUAACACGUGGGCAACCUGCCUGUAAGACUGGGAUAACGCCGGGAAACCGGGGCUAAUACCAGAUAGUUUUUUCCUCCGCAUGGAGGAAAAAGGAAAGGCGGCUUCGGCUGCCACUUACAGAUGGGCCCGCGGCGCAUUAGCUAGUUGGCGGGGUAACGGCCCACCAAGGCAACGAUGCGUAGCCGACCUGAGAGGGUGAUCGGCCACAUUGGGACUGAGACACGGCCCAAACUCCUACGGGAGGCAGCAGUAGGGAAUCUUCCGCAAUGGACGAAAGUCUGACGGAGCAACGCCGCGUGAGUGAAGAAGGCCUUCGGGUCGUAAAACUCUGUUGCCGGGGAAGAACAAGUGCCGUUCGAACAGGGCGGCGCCUUGACGGUACCCGGCCAGAAAGCCACGGCUAACUACGUGCCAGCAGCCGCGGUAAUACGUAGGUGGCAAGCGUUGUCCGGAAUUAUUGGGCGUAAAGCGCGCGCAGGCGGCUUCUUAAGUCUGAUGUGAAAUCUUCGCGGCUCAACCGCAAGCGGUCAUUGGAAACUGAGGAGGCUUGAGUGCAGAAGAGGAGAGUGGAAUUCCACGUGUAGCGGUGAAAUGCGUAGAGAUGUGGAGGAACACCAGUGGCGAAGGCGGCUCUCUGGUCUGUAACUGACGCUGAGGCGCGAAAGCGUGGGGAGCAAACAGGAUUAGAUACCCUGGUAGUCCACGCCGUAAACGAUGAGUGCUAAGUGUUAGAGGGUUUCCGCCCUUUAGUGCUGCAGCUAACGCAUUAAGCACUCCGCCUGGGGAGUACGGCCGCAAGGCUGAAACUCAAAGGAAUUGACGGGGGCCCGCACAAGCGGUGGAGCAUGUGGUUUAAUUCGAAGCAACGCGAAGAACCUUACCAGGUCUUGACACUCUCUGACCUCCCUGGAGACAGGGCCUUCCCCUUCGGGGGACAGAGUGAUAGGUGGUGCAUGGUUGUCGUCACCUCGUGUCGUGAGAUGUUGGGUUAAGUCCCGCAACGAGCGCAACCCUUGACCUUAGUUGCCAGCAUUGAGUUGGGCACUCUAAGGUGACUGCCGGUGACAAACCGGAGGAAGGUGGGGAUGACGUCAAAUCAUCAUGCCCCUUAUGACCUGGGCUACACACGUGCUACAAUGGAUGGUACAAAGGGCUGCGAGACCGCGAGGUUAAGCCAAUCCCAGAAAACCAUUCCCAGUUCGGAUUGCAGGCUGCAACCCGCCUGCAU